rnacentral:rRNA from 1 species
AAAUGAAUUGACGGGGAAACUCAAAUGAAUAGUCCUACGGGAGGCAGCAGUGAGGAAUUUUCCGCAAUGGGCGAAAGCCUGACGGAGCAAUGUCGCGUGGAGGAAGAAGGCCUAUGGGUUGUAAACUCCUUUUGUCAAAGAAGAAUCAAUGACGGUACUUGACGAAUAAGCAUCGGCUAAUUCUGUGCCAGCAGCCGCGGUAAUACAGGAGAUGCAAGUGUUAUCCGGAAUUAUUGGGCGUAAAGGGUCUUGAGGUGGCUAGCCAAGUUUAUUGUGAAAGAUCAGGGCUCAACCUUGAACAUGCGAUAGAAACUAGCAGGCUUGAGUCUUGUAGAGGGGGGUAGAAUUCCAGGUGUAGCGGUGAAAUGCGUAGAGAUCUGGAGGAAUACCGGUGGCGAAGGCGGCCCCCUGGGCUACAACUGACGCUGAUGCACGAAAGCGUGGGGAGCAAACAGGAUUAGAUACCCUGGUAGUCCACGCCGUAAACGAUGAGUGCUAG